UAACCAACUGCAGCCAUAAGAAGUCAUGGGGAUAUCUUAGCCUGAAUAUGGCCUCUUCUUUAUGGUCUUAUCUAAAGGAUUAGCUCUACCCAGUGGACUCUAUUCAGGAGCCUUUUCUCUUUGUUGGCUGCUGAGUUGACUGUGGUCCUUGUCCUGUUCACCCUGUCUCCAUCCCUCAGAACAGCUGGCAGGUGGGAAGGGAAGCGACGACAAGCCCAGAAGACAGCUUAUGGGAGCUGGUUCUCUUCUCUCACCAACACAGGAGGACUCUGCCCGAGGGUGAUCACUACACUACCCAUCUGGCCUUUGCUCCCCAAGAGACUGGAAAAUGAGUGACUGGAAGUACAGAAGUCUUCAGGCUGAGUCUUAGGAUGCUUGAAGAACUUUCCUUCCCAGCAAACCAGACCCUGGGGCAGAGGCUCAGCCAGGGUGGAGGCCCAGGAAAAGAAAAGAAGAGAAAAGAAAAAAAGAAAAGAAAAGAAAAGAAAAGAACACAUAUUCCCAAAGGCAAGCUACAGAACCAUUUCCGUAACCAAACAUGCUGGAACAAGACUAGAACCUUGAACUGAUACUGUCAAGAAGAUAUGAGAGGGCUGGGGGUGUGCAGAUCCACAGGGCGGCACUUGUCUGGUAUGCGCAAGGCCCUGGGGUCCACUCCUGACUCUACCCUCCCAUAGAAGCAGAAGAAGAAAAAGAGCUUUCAGGGAAAUAAACAUUUCUAUCUGCUGUAAUGGACUGUUUUAAAUAAAAUAUCAAAA
rnacentral:lncRNA from 1 species